rnacentral:rRNA from 1 species
CAAUAGCGUAUAUUAAAGUUGUUGCGGUUAAAAAGCUCGUAGUUGGAGUUCUGCCAGGUGCCGCCUGUCCGCCCCAGUGGUGAGUACGUGGCGCGCAUUUGGCCCUUUCAAGGGGAGCGUAUCUGCACUUUAUUGUGUGGUGCGGGAUCCUUGACUUUUACUUUGAGGAAAUAGGAGUGUUCCAAGCAGGCUCUCGUCGUGCACAGCUCAGCAUGGAAUAAUAGCAUUGGACCUCGAUUCUAAGCUGUUGGUUGCCAGAAGCGAGGUAAUGAUGAAGAGGGAUAGUUGGGGGCAUUCGUAUUUAACUGUCGGAGGUGAAAUUCUUGGAUUUGUUAAAGACGGACUACUGCGAAAGCAUCUGCCAGGGAUGUUUUCAUUGA